CCACCAUGCAAAUGAAAAGACUGUCAGGAUAUUGAAGGCCUGGUUACUAUCAAGCCAAGGCCGCUUUCCCUCUAAUGAGGCACUAACAUAAAGACAAUUGGGAGUCUCCUGGUGGAAUGUUACAUUCCUGCUAUCAAAGCGUCCUUGUUAGUGAGAUUUAGGUUUAGAAGAAAUUUAACUUUAUUUACUUUUCCUUCUACCUCAGCCUCCUUC